AGAGUUUGAUCAUGGCUCAGGACGAACGCUGGCGGCGUGCUUAACACAUGCAAGUCAACGGGAAAAGGAGGUAGCAAUACUUCCUGAGUACAUUGGCGCACGGGUGAGUAAUAUGUAGGUAAUCUACCCACAGAAUUGGAAUAACGUCGAGAAAUCGGCGCUAAUACCGAACGAUGCAGCGGCACCGCAUGGUGAUGUUGUUAAAGUUGCUUUUGUAACGUCUGUGGAUGAGCUUGCAUCUGAUUGGCUAGUUGGUGAGGUAACGGCCCACCAAGGCAACGAUCAGUAGCUGGUCUGAGAGGAUGAUCAGCCACACUGGAACUGAGACACGGUCCAGACUCCUACGGGAGGCAGCAGUGAGGAAUAUUGGGCAAUGCCCGCAAGGGUGACCCAGCAACGCCGCGUGGAGGAUGAAUGCCGUAAGGUUGUAAACUCCUGUGAGAAGGGAUGAAAACGCAUAGUUCUGGAAGGGCUAUGCAUUGACCGUACCUUCAGAGGAAACCCCGGCUAACUACGUGCCAGCAGCCGCGGUAAUACGUAGGGGGUUAGCGUUGUCCGGAUUUACUGGGUGUAAAGGGCGCGUAGGCGGGUUUGUAAGUCAGUGGUGAAAUCCUACAGCUUAACUGUAGAGCUGCCAUUGAUACUGCAGAUCUUGAGUUCAGAAGAGAGAGAUGGAAUUCCAGGUGUAGUGGUGAAAUACGUAGAUAUCUGGAAGGACACCAGUGGCGAAGGCGGUCUCUUGGUCUGUAACUGACGCUGAGGCGCGAAAGCGUGGUAGCAAACAGGAUUAGAUACCCUGGUAGUCCACGCUGUAAACGAUGAAUACUAGAUGUUGGUCUCAUAGAGAUCAGUGUCGCAGCAACGCAUUAAGUAUUCCACCCUGGGAGUACGAUCGCAAGGAGGUUGAAACUCAAAGGAAUUGACGG
rnacentral:rRNA from 1 species